rnacentral:rRNA from 1 species
UACGUAGGGUGCGAGCGUUGUCCGGAAUCAUUGGGCGUAAAGCGCGUGUAGGCGGCUCGAUAAGUCUGCUGUGAAAGUCCAGGGCUCAACCCUGGGAUGCCGGUGGAUACUGUCGAGCUCGAGUCCGGAAGAGGCGAGUGGAAUUCCCGGUGUAGCGGUGAAAUGCGCAGAUAUCGGGAGGAACACCUAUGGCGAAGGCAGCUCGCUGGGACGUUACUGACGCUGAGACGCGAAAGCGUGGGGAGCGAACAGG